rnacentral:sRNA from 1 species
UGGCAGAGUGCACAGUUCCUGAAGAGGAGGUUUCUAAUCAGGGAGAUGCUGAGCAGCAGAGAGAGUCUGCUGCUGGGGCCUAAAAUUUACAGCUCUAAGAAUUCAUUGCUGCCGUUGCUGCUAACAUAUUACAAGGGGUGCCUAAUUCCAGUAACUUGUUACAGGACAUCCUUAGAUCUUCAUGUUCUGUAAUCAGCAGGUGAUGCAGGUUCUGAAUGCUGAUGCCAUUGUUGUGAAGCUGAACUCAGGCGAUUACAAGACGAUUCACCUGUCCAGCAUCCGACCACCGAGGCUGGAGGGGGAGAACACCCAGGAUAAGAACAAGAAACUGCGUCCCCUGUAUGACAUUCCUUACAUGUUUGAGGCCCGGGAAUUUCUUCGAAAAAAGCUUAUUGGGAAGAAGGUCAAUGUGACGGUGGACUACAUUAGACCAGCCAGCCCAGCCACAGAGACAGUGCCUGCCUUUUCAGAGCGUACCUGUGCCACUGUCACCAUUGGAGGAAUAAACAUUGCUGAGGCUCUUGUCAGCAAAGGUCUAGCCACAGUGAUCAG